rnacentral:misc_RNA from 1 species
GUGAAUCAUCGAAUUUUUGAACGCAAAUUGCGCUUCCUGGCAUCCCGGGAAGUAUGCCUGUUUGAGGGUCAUUAUUACUAAAAAAUCGGUUCUGUUGCAAAUUGUGACGUUUCCGGUGUUGGGUCUAUCUUAACAUUUUUGGUUAAGAGGCUUAAAAUUGACCUUUUUGCGCAUUUUUAUACGUACAUUAAUUUUUUUUAUUGUUCUAUUCUAACUACCAAUAU